rnacentral:rRNA from 1 species
UACGGGGGGGGCAAGCGUUGUUCGGAAUUACUGGGCGUAAAGGGCGCGUAGGCGGUCUGUUAAGUCGGAUGUGAAAACUCUGGGCUCAACCCAGAGCCUGCAUCCGAAACUGGCAGGCUAGAGUUCUGGAGGGGGUAGCGGAAUUCCUGGUGUAGCGGUGAAAUGCGUAGAUAUCAGGAGGAACACCAGUGGCGAAGGCGGCUACCUGGACAGAAACUGACGCUGAGGCGCGAAAGCUAGGGGAGCAAACAGG